UACGUAGGGUGCAAGCGUUAAUCGGAAUUACUGGGCGUAAAGCGUGCGCAGGCGGUUCGCUAAGACAGAUGUGAAAUCCCCGGGCUUAACCUGGGAACUGCAUUUGUGACUGGCGGGCUAGAGUAUGGCAGAGGGGGGUAGAAUUCCACGUGUAGCAGUGAAAUGCGUAGAGAUGUGGAGGAAUACCGAUGGCGAAGGCAGCCCCCUGGGCCAAUACUGACGCUCAUGCACGAAAGCGUGGGGAGCAUACAGG
rnacentral:rRNA from 1 species